rnacentral:rRNA from 1 species
AGGACGAACGCUGGCGGCGUGCUUAACACAUGCAAGUCGAGCGGUGAUCCUCCUUCGGGAGGUGAGCAGCGGCGAACGGGUGAGUAACACGUGGGCAACCUGCCCCUCACACUGGGAUAACCUCGGGAAACCGGGGCUAAUACCGGAUAUGACCUCGAGCGGCAUCUCUUGAGGUGGAAAGCUCCGACGGUGAGGGAUGGGCCCGCGGCCUAUCAGCUUGUUGGUGGGGUAAUGGCCUACCAAGGCGACGACGGGUAGCCGGCCUGAGAGGGCGACCGGCCACACUGGGACUGAGACACGGCCCAGACUCCUACGGGAGGCAGCAGUGGGGAAUAUUGCGCAAUGGGCGAAAGCCUGACGCAGCGACGCCGCGUGAGGGAUGAAGGCCUUCGGUUGUAAACCUCUUUCAGCAGGGACGAAGCGAAAGUGACGGUACCUGCAGAAGAAGCACCGGCUAACUACGUGCCAGCAGCCGCGGUAA